GCUUGCUUGUUGGGGUUGUAGGACACUCUAUACGGAGUUACAAAGGACGACAUUAGACGAAUCAUCUGGAAAGAUGAAUCAAAGAAGGUAAUAAUCCUGUAGUCGAAAAUGUUGUCUCUCUUGAGUGGAUCCUGAGUACGACGGAGCACGUGAAAUUCCGUCGGAAUCUGGGAGGACCAUCUCCUAAGGCUAAAUACUCUCUAGUGACCGAUAGUGAACCAGUACCGUGAGGGAAAGGUGAAAAGCACCCCGGAAGGGGAGUGAAAUAGAACCUGAAACCGUGUGCUUACAAGUAGUCAGAGCCCGUUAAUGGGUGAUGGCGUGCCUUUUGUAGAAUGAACCGGCGAGUUACGAUUUGAUGCAAGGUUAAGCAGUAAAUGUGGAGCCGUAGCGAAAGCGAGUCUGAAUAGGGCGUUUAGUAUUUGGUCGUAGACCCGAAACCAGGUGAUCUACCCUUGGUCAGGUUGAAGUUCAGGUAACACUGAAUGGAGGACCGAACCGACUUACGUUGAAAAGUGAGCGGAUGAACUGAGGGUAGCGGAGAAAUUCCAAUCGAACCUGGAGAUAGCUGGUUCUCUCCGAAAUAGCUUUAGGGCUAGCCUCAAGUGAUGAUUAUUGGAGGUAGAGCACUGUUUGGACGAGGGGCCCCUCUCGGGUUACCGAAUUCAGACAAACUCCGAAUGCCAAUUAAUUUAACUUGGGAGUCAGAACAUGGGUGAUAAGGUCCGUGUUCGAAAGGGAAACAGCCCAGACCACCAGCUAAGGUCCCAAAAUAUAUGUUAAGUGGAAAAGGAUGUGGCGUUGCCCAGACAACUAGGAUGUUGGCUUAGAAGCAGCCAUCAUUUAAAGAGUGCGUAAUAGCUCACUAGUCGAGUGACACUGCGCCGAAAAUGUACCGGGGCUAAACAUAUUACCGAAGCUGUGGAUUGUCCUUUGGACAAUGGUAGGAGAGCGUU
rnacentral:rRNA from 1 species